UCCCUUUACAAUCCAGAACCCAAAGAUUAGAUCUGAGAACAUCAGAGAAAGAAUGCUCUUGUCAUCCACACUGCAGCAAAACUUCAGGACCUUGAAUCUUGGGUUCAUAAUCUCUCAACUCAGAAGGAUCCCUCCACACUCUUGGAAUGUAUACCCAUUGGAAACCUUAAGGAUGAAAACCUGACACCAAACAGAGGCUAGGUGGUUGCUUUGUAAGCCAGGUGCGAAAAGGAGGCUCUUUCCCAGAGAGUUUCAACAGUGAUAUCAGCCAACUCACAUAAUUCAAGACCAUCUCAAGAUGCCAUGUGGACCUGGUAUCCAUCUGUU